UGAUAGAUGAUACUAAUAUAAGUUGAGACUGAGCUAAAGUUAAUCUGUGGUGACGUUCUGGAUGUACUGGACAAACACCUCAUUCCAGCAGCUACCACUGGCAAGUCCAGGGUUUUCUAUUAUGAAAUGUAGGUUCUAUACUAACAAUUAACAAGUGUACUUCAAUAAAUUUAAACAUUCUCAGGAAUAAUUGGCUUUGUUUCUUUUUU